GCCGGGAGCAGUGGCGGGCGCCUGUAAUCCCAGCUACUCGGGAGGCUGAGGCAGGAGGAUCGCUUGAACCCGGGAGGCGAAGGUAGCAGUGAGCUGAGGUCAUGCCACUGCACUCCAGCCUGGGUAACAGAGUGAGACCCUGUCUUAA
rnacentral:SRP_RNA from 1 species